rnacentral:sRNA from 1 species
GCUGGGAACAGUGGUGCAUUCCUGUAAUCCUAGUGAUUUGGGAGGCUGAGGCAGGAGGAUUCCAAGUUUGAAGCCAGCUCCAGCAACUUAGGAAGAUGCUGUCUCAA